ACCGUCAGUCUGUCAACAACUCGUGUCCUCGCGUCAGUUCAAUUUUCGUCAUGUCAUUCGGCGGAUUGGUGUUUCGCGAUACGAGACGAAUUCUUCGUAUCGAAAACGUCGUACGGAUGGCGGCGUCCUGGCGGUAAUUUGGCCUUUUGUUGCCAGCACGCCGAAACCUGCAGUGAGUACUUACUAUAUAAUAUAAUAUUAUAUCUCGAACUGCUCGCUCCGGCCCGAGAGCGCACGUGGUUUCUAUUUGCGUCACAAUUGUAUAUUUGUGCAUUUUAAGAGACCCGGCUCGACGUGUAUUUUAUGUUUCCUCUGUUCCUCGGUACCGGCCGUAUUUUUUCCACUACGCGACGGUUCGAUUUUGCGCGAUACCAAUUAUUUCUGUAUGGACAGUAACGCGUACGGACGGGCGGGCGUCCGACCCGACGGUAUUAACGUCUUUUGGUCGCCGGCACGCCGACUAAGUAAGUAAGUAAGUAAGUACUCAAUCACGCACGAGUCUCGGAUGUUCGAGAUACUCGUCCUAGCCGGGCGCGCACGUGGUUUUUUUUCCGUCACAAUUGUGUACCUACUUGCGCAUUUGUACGACCGGCUUCAACGUUUGCGUUUCCGCAUCUCUCGAUGCGUACGUCGCCCGACAUUUUGCCGGUGUCGUUUUCGCGCGUAAUUGUCCGCGGCCCGUCAACGAACGAAGCCCGGCCCCUCCCCCGGUCAGGUAACCCCGUAGCGGUCCUGUAAAACCGGCGUGAGGUUGCCCGUGAUGUACCUGUAGGACGUUGUGUCCGCACAUGUCAUUCGGUUCGGUUACCUGUCCGUAACGGACGGUUACAUAAAUCUAACCGAAUAGCCGAAAAUCGGUAUUCCGGCCGAUGCACGUAUCUUUUGUUACGUAGGUCGCCGAAUAUUUCGCGGGCGGACGUUUUUUGCGCGUAUCUGCCCGUGGCCC